CGGGGUGAGUAAUGUCUGGGAAACUGCCUGAUGGAGGGGGAUAACUGCUGGAAACGGUAGCUAAUACCGCAUAACGUCGCCAGACCAAAGAGGGGGACCUUCGGGCCUCUUGCCAUCGGAUGUGCCCAGAUGGGAUUAGCUAGUAGGUGGGGUAACGGCUCACCUAGGCGACGAUCCCUAGCUGGUCUGAGAGGAUGACCAGCCACACUGGAACUGAGACACGGUCCAG
rnacentral:rRNA from 1 species